GACCGAUGGAUGGAAAUUGCAGAGAGUCAGAUUUCAGCUCAUUAUAAGGAGUUUUCCAACACCAAGAGCUAUCCAAUAAUGAAAUUAGUUGCCCCAUGAAAUGGCAAUUGGGAGCUACUGAAGGUUUUUGAAUGGGGAAGUGACAUGCUGAGGCUUAUCAAAAUUCAAGAACCAGUGAGACCUUUGACAACUCAGAGAAUCAGUUGAACAGAGAGUUCCACAGCCCAAAAGAACCUGUGCUUUACCUGGGCCAGCCUCCAAAUUCAAGGAAAUUCAAAUAUAUAGCAAGGAAUUGUAGAGAAGCCUUUCGGACACUGAUAAGAGGCAUACUGCCUGGGGAGCUCACCACUUUUACUACAAUUAACCCCUCCACUGAAGCAGCUGUUAAGGCAAUGGAAGUCACAGCAAUGGGGUCUAAUUUCUCAUGGAAUGUUUAAAGAAUGCCCAAAAUCCAUCCAUUAGCUAAGCAGCUUGUGAACAAAAUGCUCCGGCCUCCAAGCAGCUCUAUGAAAAUGCU